rnacentral:siRNA from 1 species
AGAAUAACUGGUGAUGUUCCGUGA